rnacentral:lncRNA from 1 species
GGGGUCUGCUCUUUGGUCUAGGAUGCGCGUCGAUAUGCGGCGCCUCUCGCAGGGCUUACGUGAUACGGCACGCGAAGGGCCAUAUGGCGCGUCGGCUGUGGGACGACCUCCAAGGAGUCGCUUCCAGCUGCUGAAUGAUGAGAGACUUGGAGUCGUGUGUUCGGCCCUCGAACCGGCAGAGCGCCGGUGCCGUCGUCUCACGGCGGCUCUGAGGACGCGGCCCCUGCGGACGGGCCCUCGAUGGCCCCGCCCGCUGGCUGGACGCCACGCCGAGACGAACCCCUCGCGGAGAGGCGAGAGAGGGACCGAACCGCAUCGAAGGCAUCGCGGGGCUAAAACCCGACACCUGCUGGAGCGAUACACGCGACAUAUGUGUACGUAGAUACGCAUGCCCCGGACCUGUGAGGUCCCUCCUUGCGAGGUACCGCUGGCAAAGUGGGUCGCGUCCAAAUCCCUGCCUGGUGACGAUACCCCGAAUGGGACGCCGAGCCAACGUUUUCCUGCAUCUGCGCCGAGGAGGGGCUGUGGACACGGCACAGGCGUACCGCUGUGGUGGUUCGGUGUGAGUGUGCGCACACACACACACACACACACACACACACAGACACUGGUGCGACUCCUCCCUCAAGGAUUGCGAUAUUCCCGAGGCCUGUCUUGCCCAGCUGGCUGUAUGCCAAGGCUGAGUCGACCAUCAUCGGACCCGCAUCCAGCUCCAGGAUUCAGUAGGGC